CAAGUUAGGCCCAUUGUGGGCCAAGGGAUCCUCUGCCUGGCGUCCCUGGGUAUUUUAGCUGUUUGAGGCUCUUGCCUCUGGCUCUGAGCUGACUGCAGAAAUGGUGGUGGAGAAGAAUUGCUCUUCAGGCAAAGUGAGAGCAAGAAGUUUGAAGACUCAAACUGCCCAUAAAGACCUCCAAGAAACAUCCACUCCAUAGUGUGAAGCUACAGAUUAACUGUUUGUGCACAGCUAGUAUUCAUAGUGCUCUACAGCUCCUCACAGAACUGCUGAUCCCACUCGUAGAGAACACAGCCAGGAAAAGGUAAAACACAUAAGAAACAGAAAUUCUAGCAUAACCCUAAAAAAAAUAGGGUACCUUUUGAAAACAUCUAGAAGGUGAUCUAGCUGUAAAUAUCUCCCAUUAUGACAAGCUGAAAAAGCAUAGAAGCUGUGUUUAAUUAUAACUUAUUAGCUAUUAUUAACCUAUUUUACAAAACAAUAAUAAUGAGAUUAUAUGUUACAUAAGACUACAAAGCUUUAUUUUUUUGUUUUUAAUAUAUGCUACUGUGAAAAGAAGAAGCAUUUGUACUGAUUUUCUGUUUUCUAGCAUGUGAUUUUUAUGUGCCCAUACAGACUUUGGAUAUUUUUUUGAGGAAUAAGCAACUCUGAUUUUUACCUCUCUGCUAGAAGUAUUUUUUUUACCAUUAUAUAAAUAAAACUGGGAUCAAUACUACUACUCUCUAGGAAUUCUACUAAGGAAAUUUAAAACAAAAGGGAAGUUAGUUGCUGCUGGGAACUGUUCUGCUCCUGAGAUGGGUUUUCUUUUAAAAUUACAAAUGUUGCUUACACUCACAAUUCAGUAUAGAAAAGAUGCUCAACGUGAAAAAUUAUAAUGAAUAAAAAAAUUGCUUACCUUAAA